GGCGGCGUGCCUAACACAUGCAAGUCGAACCGUACUGUUUUGAAAGAUUUCUUCGGAAUGAAUUUGAUUUAGUUUAGUGGCGGACGGGUGAGUAACGCGUGAGUAACCUGCCUUCAAGAGGGGGAUAACAUUCUGAAAAGAAUGCUAAUACCGCAUGACAUAUCGGAACCACAUGGUUUUGAUAUCAAAGAUUUUAUCGCUUGAAGAUGGACUCGCGUCCGAUUAGUUAGUUGGUGAGGUAACGGCUCACCAAGACCGCGAUCGGUAGCCGGACUGAGAGGUUGAACGGCCACAUUGGGACUGAGACACGGCCCAGACUCCUACGGGAGGCAGCAGUGGGGGAUAUUGCGCAAUGGGGGCAACCCUGACGCAGCAACGCCGCGUGAAGGAUGAAGGUUUUCGGAUUGUAAACUUCUUUUAUUAAGGACGAAAAAUGACGGUACUUAAUGAAUAAGCUCCGGCUAACUACGUGCCAGCAGCCGCGGUAAUACGUAGGGAGCAAGCGUUGUCCGGAUUUACUGGGUGUAAAGGGUGCGUAGGCGGCUUUGCAAGUCAGAUGUGAAAUCUAUGGGCUCAACCCAUAAACUGCAUUUGAAACUGUAGAGCUUGAGUGAAGUAGAGGCAGGCGGAAUUCCCCGUGUAGCGGUGAAAUGCGUAGAGAUGGGGAGGAACACCAGUGGCGAAGGCGGCCUGCUGGGCUUUAACUGACGCUGAGGCACGAAAGCGUGGGUAGCAAACAGGAUUAGAUACCCUGGUAGUCCACGCUGUAAACGAUGAUUACUAGGUGUGGGGGGUCUGACCCCUUCCGUGCCGGAGUUAACACAAUAAGUAAUCCACCUGGGGAGUACGCCGGCAACGGUGAAACUCAAAGGAAUUGACGGGGGCCCGCACAAGCGGAGGAACAUGUGGUUUAAUUCGAUGAUACGCGAGGAACCUUACCCGGGCUUGAAAGUUACUGACGAUUCUGGAAACAGGAUUUCCCUUCGGGGCAGGAAACUAGGUGCUGCAUGGUUGUCGUCAGCUCGUGCCGUGAGGUGUCGGGUUAAGUCCCAUAACGAGCGCAACCCCUACCGUUAGUUGCCAUCAGGUCAAGCUGGGCACUCUGGCGGGACUGCCGGUGUAAGCCGAGAGGAAGGUGGGGAUGACGUCAAAUCAGCACGGCCCUUACGUCCGGGGCUACACACGUGUUACAAUGGUAGGUACAGAGGGCAGCUACCCAGUGAUGGGAUGCGAAUCUCGAAAGCCUAUCUCAGUUCGGAUCGGAGGCUGAAACCCGCCUCCGUGAAGUUGGAUUCGCUAGUAAUCGCGCAUCAGCCAUGGCGCGGUGAAUACGUUCCCGGG
rnacentral:rRNA from 1 species